GCCUACGGGGCGCAGCAGUGGGGAAUAUUGGGCAAUGGGCGCAAGCCUGACCCAGCAACGCCGCGUGAAGGAAGAAGGCUUUCGGGUUGUAAACUUCUUUUCUCAGGGACGAAUAGAUGACGGUACCUGAGGAAUAAGCCACGGCUAACUACGUGCCAGCAGCCGCGGUAAUACGUAGGUGGCAAGCGUUAUCCGGAUUUACUGGGUGUAAAGGGCGUGUAGGCGGGGACGGAAGGCAGAUGGGAAAAACACGGGCUCAACCGGUGGCCUGCAUUUGAAAAUG
rnacentral:rRNA from 1 species